AUCCAGUGUCAUGGUUGUGAAGGGUAUGGACACGUCAGAGCUGAAUGCCCUACUUACCUCAAAUUGCAAAAUAAGGGGUUAGCUAUCACAUGGUCUGAAGGAGACUCUGAAAGUGAAUCUGAAGGAGAAUCUGCCAAACAUGUCACUGCACUAACCAGUGUUUGUGCCUCUGAAGAUGACUCAAGUGCAGAUGAACUGACCUUUGAUGAACUUGCA
rnacentral:lncRNA from 1 species